rnacentral:sRNA from 2 species
CGAUAUUUUAUGCCUAAGUCCGUUGCUAAAUGGAUACGGGGGACCCGAGCAGUCAGGGGCGCAUUUCUUGAUUGAUAAAGAAUAGGACACUUCCCUGUCCGAGCCCGUCAGCUAACCUUGUCGGCGUAUGGGAGGAUGA